UAGGGAAUCUUCGGCAAUGGACGAAAGUCUGACCGAGCAACGCCGCGUGAGUGAAGAAGGUUUUCGGAUCGUAAAACUCUGUUGUUAGAGAAGAACAAGGACGUUAGUAACUGAACGUCCCCUGACGGUAUCUAACCAGAAAGCCACGGCUAACUACGUGCCAGCAUCCGCGGUAAUACGUAGGUUGCAAGCGUUGUCCGGAUUUAUUGGGCGUAAAGCGAGCGCAGGCGGUUUCUUAAGUCUGAUGUGAAAGCCCCCGGCUCAACCGGGGAGGGUCAUUGGAAACUGGGAGACUUGAGUGCAGAAGAGGAGAGUGGAAUUCCAUGUGUAGCGGUGAAAUGCGUAGAUAUAUGGAGGAACACCAGUGGCGAAGGCGGCUCUCUGGUCUGUAACUGACGCUGAGGCUAGAAAGCGUGGGGAGCAAACAGG
rnacentral:rRNA from 1 species